rnacentral:lncRNA from 1 species
AAUAAACAAUUUUUGAAACCAUUGUUAAGAUUACCCGAAAAAAACUGAUACGGUUCUUAUUGAUUCAAAAAAAACUGAUUGUGACUCUCAAGUAUUUGAGAUUCUUCUAUUACGCUCGUUGUUACAUGAAGUUUACCACUCCUGUUAUAUACAAUGCAAAUGUAAUAGAAAUCUGAAUGUGUCAUGAAAUUUAGAUAAAUUUAAACAUAACUAAAAUUUACAGUAUGGUCGAAGUCACACGACGCGUGUUUGUCGAGUCGGCAGCCGAAUCGACUGUUGAAUUGACAAUAAUUCUUUUUAUUCAAUUGAACUGUACAUACGAAUAUUUAAGCACGCAGUGGCUGCUCCAUAUCAGCAUUUUUUGUAGAACGAAUACUUUCAUCCCUUUAUUUAAAAUAGCAGUGUUCAGACGGCAUUGUUUUUCAAGCUGUUCUGAUAUGGUGAUUUACAAAAAUAUCUGGAUCGAAGUAAUUUUUAACAAAAAUUAUGAAGCGAAAAUUUCCGCGGCUAGAUAGAGUAUAGCGUUUGCAUUUUUAUGAUGUUAUUUGUGCCAUAUUCGUAUCGAUGCGUAUAAAAAUGGACAUUAUCAGUCGUAUUGGUCUCAAAGCGCGUAUGCCGAAUGAUCUUCAGUAUCGUAUGUACAGUUUGAAACGUUUGUCGAAUUGACAGCAGAAUUAUUUCGUCGGGCAUAUAUUGAGUGGCUUCCUGUAUAUAUGUUACGGUAACAGUGAUUAAUUGGUAAGUUUCUAGGUAAGUUUGAUAAAGUUCACUAAAUUUCUCACUUUUACCGGCGAUUAUGUAUAAUUCCC